rnacentral:misc_RNA from 1 species
AACGCACCUUGCGCCCCUUGGUAUUCCGAGGGGCACGCCUGUUUGAGUGUCGUGAACUUCUCAACCCUUCCCUUUCUUCGGAAAGGGUUUGGGCUUGGACUUGGAGGCCUUUUGCCGGUCCACCCCUCGGGGAGGUCGGCUCCUCUUGAAUGCAUUAGUGGGACCUUAGUGCCGUCGCCCUCGGUGUGAUAAUUGUCUACGCCGUGGGUCAGGCCCGUGGACCUGCUUCGAACCGUCUUCUGGCGAAGACACUUUAUUGAAACUUGACCUCAGAUCAGGCGGGACUACCCGCUGAACUUAA